rnacentral:rRNA from 1 species
CUACGGGUCGCUGCAGUGAGGAAUAUUGCACAAUGGGGGCAACCCUGAUGCAGCAACGCCGCGUGGAGGAUGACGCAUUUCGGUGUGUAAACUCCUUUUAUCAGAGAAGAACCAUGACGGUAUCUGAUGAAUAAGCUCCGGCUAACUCCGUGCCAGCAGCCGCGGUAAUACGGAGGGAGCAAGCGUUAUUCGGAAUCACUGGGCGUAAAGGACGCGUAGGCCGGUCUGUAAGUCAGGUGUGAAAUGCAAUGGCUCAACCAUUGAACUGCACUUGAAACUGCGGACCUAGAGUAUGGAAGGGGCAGAUGGAAUUAGUGGUGUAGGGGUAAAAUCCGUAGAUAUCACUAGGAAUACCGAAAGCGAAGGCGAUCUGCUGGGACAUAACUGACGCUGAGGCGUGAAAGCGUGGGGAGCAAACAGGAUUAGAUACCCUAGUAGUC